rnacentral:rRNA from 1 species
AUACGGAGGAUGCAAGCGUUAUCCGGAUUUAUUGGGUUUAAAGGGUGCGUAGGCUGCUCGGAAAGUCAGGGGUGAAAGCCCGGCGCCUAACGCCGGAACUGCCUUUGAUACUUCCGAGCUGGAAUACGGAUGCCGUGGGAGGAAUGAGUAGUGUAGCGGUGAAAUGCAUAGAUAUUACUCAGAACACCGAUUGCGAAGGCAUCUCACGAAUCCGUCAUUGACGCUGAGGCACGAAAGCGUGGGGAUCAAACAGGAUUAGAUACCCUGGUAGUCCACGCAGUAAACGAUGAUGACUAACCGUCGGCGAUACACAGUCGGUGGCCAAGCGAAAGCGAUAAGUCAUCCACCUGGGGAGUACGUUCGCAAGAAUGAAACUCAAAGGAAUUGACGGGG